rnacentral:rRNA from 1 species
AGCAGCCGCGGUAAUUCCAGCUCCAAUAGCGUAUAUUAAAGUUGUUGCAGUUAAAAAGCUCGUAGUUGAAUUUCGGGGUCAGCAGGUUGGUCGUGCCACUGGUAUGUAUUGGCUUUGCUGAUUCCUCCUUCUUGUAGAACCGUAAUGCCAUUAAGUUGGUGUUGCGGGAAAACAGGACUGUUACUUUGAAAAAAUUAGAGUGUUUAAAGCAGGCUAACGCUUGAAUACAUUAGCAUGGAAUAAUGAAAUAGGACGACGAUCCUAUUUUGUUGGUUUCUAGGAUUGACGUAAUGAUUAAUAGGGAUAGUUGGGGGCAUUAGUAUUCAAUUGUCAGAGGUGAAAUUCUUGGAUUUAUUGAAGACUGACUACUGCGAAAGCAUUUGCCAAGGAUGUUUUCAUUAAUCAAGAACGAAAGUUAGGGGAUCGAAGACGAUCAGAUACCGUCGUAGUCUUAACCAUAAACUAUGCCGACUAGGGAUCGGAUGAUGUUAAUUUUAUAAUGACUCA